GUCCGAAUGGCGUAGUGGUCAGCGCAUGUGCCUGGUAAGCAAAAGACCCGGGUUCGAAUCCUGGUCCGGCACA